rnacentral:rRNA from 1 species
AUACGGAGGAUCCGAGCGUUAUCCGGAUUUAUUGGGUUUAAAGGGUGCGCAGGCGGGAGAUUAAGUCAGCGGUUAAAUGGUGCGGCUCAACCGUGCCCUGCCGUUGAAACUGGGUUUCUUGAGAGUGCAAGAAGCGGAUGGAAUUCAUGGUGGAGCGGUGAAAUGCUUAGAUAUCAUGAAGAACUCCGAUUGCGAAGGCAGUCCGCUGGGGCACGUCUGACGCUGAUGCUCGAAGGUGCGGGAAUCAAACAGGAUUAGAUACCCUGUAGUCCGCACGGUAAACGAUGAUUACCCGCUGUCGGCGGUAGGCAGUCGGCGGCCAAGCGAAAGCGAUAAGUAAUCCACCUGGGGAGUACGCCGGCAACGGUGAAACUCAAAUGAAUUGGCGGGG